GAUGAACGCUGGCGGCGUGCUUAACACAUGCAAGUCGAACGAAGCACUUUACCUGAUUUCCUUCGGGGAUGAUUGUUCUGUGACUGAGUGGCGGACGGGUGAGUAACGCGUGGAUAACCUGCCUCACACAGAGGGAUAACAGUUGGAAACGACUGCUAAUACCGCAUAAGCGCACAGCACCGCAUGGUGCAGUGUGAAAAACUCCGGUGGUGUGAGAUGGAUCCGCGUCUGAUUAGCUGGUUGGCGGGGUAACGGCCCACCAAGGCGACGAUCAGUAGCCGGCCUGAGAGGGCGACCGGCCACAUUGGGACUGAGACACGGCCCAGACUCCUACGGGAGGCAGCAGUGGGGAAUAUUGCACAAUGGGGGAAACCCUGAUGCAGCGACGCCGCGUGAGCGAUGAAGUAUUUCGGUAUGUAAAGCUCUAUCAGCAGGGAAG
rnacentral:rRNA from 1 species